AAAAGUGUGACAGAAAGCCUGACAGUGCUUCAGGUUGUAUCCCCUUGUCUUUGGGAAGGUCUUCUUUGUCAGUGAAGGAGACACCACUGUUUCUAUGCCUGUCCUUUAGCUAACAUAUUCUCCAAGUUUCCCUGUCUUGAAAUGUCGUGUGUUAAUUGUCAGCUUGACAGAAUCUAGAAUCACUUGGCAGGUGGGCAUCUGGCCAUGACUGUAGGGAUUUUCUUCAUUAGGAUAAUUUAUGAGGAAAGACCCACCUUAACUGUGAGGUCAUUCCCUGGGUGAGGGACAGUGGAUGGUAUAAAGUGGACAAGGUCAGCUAUCAUGCCUCAUAGCUGUCUGUCCCUGAUUGUAGACACUAUAUAACAAGAUGCCAGCUCCUGUUGCUUUGAUUCCCCCAACAGGAUAGGCAGAAGAAAUCCUUUUGCUUUAAAUUGUUUCAUCAGAGUAUUUUAUCAAAACAGCACUAAAAGGAACGAAGACAAUGGACCUAAUUCUGUAUGACACAUCCAAUGCUAAGUUCUCAGACAAACAACGUUCCCUAUGACAGGCAGUGAGCAAACCUUCAGAGAGCAAGCCUCAUUGAGUGUCUGAUCUUAAUAUGUUGCUCCUUCAUACAUCAGGUGCUAUAGACCCUUCUCUGAGGCAGCCUGUGCUCUCACCAUCUUUCCUUCCCAGAAAAUUCUGUUACUGACUUAGCCCAUCCCAGUUUCCUGCUUUCCAGUUAUCAAUUGGAAAUUUUUAUUGUCUUACUCCCCUAGUCAUAACUCAUUUAAUAGUUACCUGUGUCUUAAUACAUUUAUAUUACAUAACCAUCACUUAUCUAGUAUCUCCAGUCUUGUCUUGUCUGAAGUCACCACUGCUCUUCUCUGCAUUACCUGGCUCACUACAGUUAGGGGUGGCUUCUUGAUUCCUGCUUCCUCUUCCCCACUCGUGAGUGUGUGUGUGUGUGUGUGUGUGUGUGUUUAUAUGUAUGUGUGCACAUGCACAUGUCCCUGUGAGUUAUCAGAAUCCAAGAGUAUUUAACCAUCUAACAAAUCUGUAAUUCAUACAAUAAAUGUCUUUCCAACUUAACAUAAAACACCUGUGACAGGCUACUUAUAAAGUAGAGAGAAGUCUAUUUACAUUACGGUUUUAGAAGACCAAAGACAUAGUACCUAUAUCUAUUCUGCUCAUGUAAGAGUAUGAAUUACAGAAUCCGUCACAUCUCAAGUCAAAAUGAUAAGGAUCAUUUAAUCUCCAAGGUUAGAACCCUGUGACCUAAAUAAAGUCAGCCUACCAAAGGUCCCAAGCACUUCACAGGAGUGCCACUCUAGAGUCAGCCUUCAUAAACGGGCCUCUGGGAUGUGCAGUUAGCACUCUAGGCUACAGUACUGUGUGUAUACAAGCGGUGCUGAAAUUAGUACUGAUUUUUAGCAAUUUUAUGCUUCAUUUCAAACUAUAUGAUAAAAUCAUUGCAACUUUUCCAUUAAAACCACAAAUAUCAGCUC
rnacentral:lncRNA from 1 species